AGAGUUUGAUCCUGGCUCAGGACGAACGCUGGCGGCGUGCCUAACACAUGCAAGUCGAGCGAUGAAACCCUUCGGGGUGGAUUAGCGGCGGACGGGUGAGUAACACGUGGGUAACCUGCCUCAAAGAGGGGGAUAGCCUCCCGAAAGGGAGAUUAAUACCGCAUAAGAUUAGUUUUUCGCAUGGAGAACUAAUUAAAGGAGUAAUCCGCUUUGAGAUGGACCCGCGGCGCAUUAGCUAGUUGGUGAGGUAAAGGCUCACCAAGGCGACGAUGCGUAGCCGACCUGAGAGGGUGAUCGGCCACAUUGGAACUGAGACACGGUCCAGACUCCUACGGGAGGCAGCAGUGGGGAAUAUUGCACAAUGGGCGAAAGCCUGAUGCAGCAACGCCGCGUGAGUGAUGAAGGCCUUCGGGUUGUAAAGCUCUGUCUUUGGGGACGAUAAUGACGGUACCCAAGGAGGAAGCCACGGCUAACUACGUGCCAGCAGCCGCGGUAAUACGUAGGUGGCGAGCGUUGUCCGGAUUUACUGGGCGUAAAGGAUGCGUAGGUGGAUAUUUAAGUCAGAUGUGAAAUACCCGAGCUUAACUUGGGUGCUGCAUUUGAAACUGGAUAUCUAGAGUGCAGGAGAGGUAAGUGGAAUUCCUAGUGUAGCGGUGAAAUGCGUAGAGAUUAGGAAGAACACCAGUGGCGAAGGCGACUUACUGGACUGUAACUGACACUGAGGCAUGAAAGCGUGGGUAGCAAACAGGAUUAGAUACCCUGGUAGUCCACGCCGUAAACGAUGAGUACUAGGUGUAGGAGGUAUCGACUCCUUCUGUGCCGCAGUUAACACAAUAAGUACUCCGCCUGGGAAGUACGAUCGCAAGAUUAAAACUCAAAGGAAUUGACGG
rnacentral:rRNA from 1 species